GGCCCCUUCACCUACCAAACGCAAAGACCGCUCAGAUGAGAAGUCCAAGGAUCGCUCAAAAGAUAAAGGGGCCACGUGAGAAGGAUCGCGGCCGGGACAAAACGCGAAAGAGGCACAGCGCUUCCAGUGGUAGCAGCAGUACCAGGUCUCGGUCCAGCUCGACUUCCAGCUCAGGCUCCAGCACCAGCACUGGCUCAAGCAGUGGCUCCAGCUCUUCCUCAGCCUCCAGCCGCUCAGGAAGCUCCAGCACCUCCCGCAGCUCCAGCUCUAGCAGCUCUUCUGGCUCUCCAAGUCCUUCUCGGCGCAGACACGACAACAGGAGGCGCUCCCGCUCCAAAUCCAAACCACCUAAAAGAGAUGAAAAGGAGAGGAAAAGGCGGAGCCCAUCUCCUAAGCCCACCAAAGUGCACAUUGGGAGACUCACCAGGAAUGUGACAAAGGAUCACAUCAUGGAGAUAUUUUCCACCUAUGGGAAAAUUAAAAUGAUUGACAUGCCCGUGGAAAGGAUGCA
rnacentral:lncRNA from 1 species